rnacentral:hammerhead_ribozyme from 1 species
AUUCAGCUGACGAGCCCAAAACAGGGCGAAGCAUACAUUCUGAAU